rnacentral:rRNA from 1 species
UUUGGUGUUGUUGGCGAAAUGGAUACACCUGUUCCCAUCCCGAACACAGAAGUUAAGCAUUUCAGCGCCGAUGAUAGCUGGGCGCUUGCCCCGCAAAAGUAGGUCAUCGCCAAGC